rnacentral:lncRNA from 10 species
GCCUCUAGGGCCAAACUAUAAGAGAAUAAAAAAGAAAAAAAUGAAAACAGGCAGAUUUUCCCAUAUUUACCUUCUUCCAAGUACUCCCUUUCUUCACCUUCUGUACAAAAAGAAAAGCUUCUCUUGGAGUUUUUGCUUCCAUUGAAGCUGCCUUCUGCUUGUUGCAUGGUUAUAUCAGGGAGUUAAAAUAGGACCAAAACAACGACAACAAAUAAAAACUGGGAAACACAAUCAUAUGAGUCACCUCUUCAGAUUUUUCUGGUUUGGCUUACUUUUUGAAAUCCUCUCAAAAUUGCUUUUUGUAUAUGCCCGCAGUUCUAGUUAUAAUCUUUUUCCAAUAGUGGGUCAUAAGACCCUCAUUUCCAAGGAGCUCUUCCCCAUACAUGGGAGGAAGGAAUGCUACAGACAGGUCCAGAAGGAUCUGAACAGAAAGGCAUUGUUGGGUUUACCCCUCUGUCCACUAGCAUUAGAUCAGACCCUUUGUGUCCAAACAUAUUUCUGCAUGGCUAUCCAUUCUUCACUGAAUCUAAGCAUAAAAAUAAAUAGUUUUUCCGGUAUCUUUGGGUCUUCAUUCUGAAGGCUGCUAUAAACUUUUGAUUAAAUGAAUCUAUUACGAUUUUGAUUAAAUAAAUCAAAACUUUUGAUUAAGUACAUUAUG